CCCGCCGGCGACCGGCGCACGGUGAGUAACACGUAUGGAACCUGCCCGCAGCAGGGGGAUAAGCGGAAGAAAUUCCGUCUAAUACCGCGUAACACCGCAGAGGGGCAUCCCNCGGCGGUUAAAGAUUCAUCGGCUGCGGAUGGCCAUGCGGCGCAUUAGCUAGUCGGCGGGGUAACGGCCCACCGAGGCGACGAUGCGUAGGGGUUCUGAGAGGAAGGUCCCCCACACCGGUACUGAGACACGGACCAGACUCCUACGGAAGGCAGCAG
rnacentral:rRNA from 1 species